rnacentral:rRNA from 1 species
UACGUAGGGCGCAAGCGUUGUCCGGAAUUAUUGGGCGUAAAGAGCUCGUAGGCGGUUUGUCGCGUCUGCUGUGAAAACUCGGGGCUUAACUCCGGGCCUGCAGUGGGUACGGGCAGACUAGAGUGCGGUAGGGGGAGACUGGAAUUCCUGGUGUAGCGGUGAAAUGCGCAGAUAUCAGGAGGAACACCGGUGGCGAAGGCGGGUCUCUGGGCCGUAACUGACGCUGGAGGAGCGAAAGCGUGGGGAGCGAACAGG